GACGAACGCUGGCGGCGUGCUUAACACAAGCAAGUCGAACGGAAAGGCCCUGCUUUUGUGGGGUGCUCGAGUGGCGAACGGGUGAGUAACACGUGAGUAACCUGCCCUUGACUUUGGGAUAACUUCAGGAAACUGGGGCUAAUACCGGAUAGGAGCUCCUGCUGCAUGGUGGGGGUUGGAAAGUUUCGGCGGUUGGGGAUGGACUCGCGGCUUAUCAGCUUGUUGGUGGGGUAGUGGCUUACCAAGGCUUUGACGGGUAGCCGGCCUGAGAGGGUGACCGGCCACAUUGGGACUGAGAGACGGCCCAGACUCCUACGGGAGGCAGCAGUGGGGAAUAUUGCACAAUGGGCGGAAGCCUGAUGCAGCAACGCCGCGUGCGGGAUGACGGCCUUCGGGUUGUAGACCGCUUUCGCCUGUGACGAAGCGUGAGUGACGGUAAUGGGUAAAGAAGCACCGGCUAACUACGUG
rnacentral:rRNA from 1 species